rnacentral:tRNA from 1 species
GCCGAAGUGGCGGAACUGGCAGACGCAGCGGAUUCAAAAUCCGCCGCCCGCAAGGGCUUGAGGGUUCGAGUCCCUCCUUCGGCA